GACGAACGCUGGUGGCGUGCCUAAUACAUGCAAGUAGAACGCUGAAGAGAGGAGCUUGCUCUUCUUGGAUGAGUUGCGAACGGGUGAGUAACGCGUAGGUAACCUGCCUUGUAGCGGGGGAUAACUAUUGGAAACGAUAGCUAAUACCGCAUAACAAUGGAUGACACAUGUCAUUUAUUUGAAAGGGGCAAUUGCUCCACUACAAGAUGGACCUGCGUUGUAUUAGCUAGUAGGUGAGGUAAUGGCUCACCUAGGCGACGAUACAUAGCCGACCUGAGAGGGUGAUCGGCCACACUGGGACUGAGACACGGCCCAGACUCCUACGGGAGGCAGCAGUAGGGAAUCUUCGGCAAUGGGGGCAACCCUGACCGAGCAACGCCGCGUGAGUGAAGAAGGUUUUCGGAUCGUAAAGCUCUGUUGUAAGUCAAGAACGGGUGUGAGAGUGGAAAGUUCACACUGUGACGGUAGCUUACCAGAAAGGGACGGCUAACUACGUG
rnacentral:rRNA from 1 species